rnacentral:rRNA from 1 species
GACGAACGCUGGCGGCGUGCUUAACACAUGCAAGUCGAACGGAAAGGCCCCUUCGGGGGUACUCGAGUGGCGAACGGGUGAGUAACACGUGAGUAACCUGCCCUGACUUCGGGAUAACUUCAGGAAACUGGGGCUAAUACCGGAUAGGAAUCCUUGCUGCAUGGUGGGGGUUGGAAAGCUUCGGCGGUUUUGGAUGGACUCGCGGCUUAUCAGCUUGUUGGUGGGGUAGUGGCUUACCAAGGCUUUGACGGGUAGCCGGCCUGAGAGGGCGACCGGCCACAUUGGGACUGAGAUACGGCCCAGACUCCUACGGGAGGCAGCAGUGGGGAAUAUUGCACAAGGGGCGGAAGCCUGAUGCAGCAACGCCGCGUGCGGGAUGACGGCCUUCGGGUUGUAAACCGCUUUCAGCAGGGGCGAAGCUUGUGGUGACGGUACCUGCAGAAGAAGCACCGGCUAACUACGUG